GCUCCAUGAAAUUUAAAUAGCCGCUUUUGUGCUAAGGUAGCAUAAUAAUUUGUCUUUUAAUUAAAGACUAGAACAAAAGGUCUAACAUCUCAAUUAAUAUUUUCAAAAAAUCUAUUUAAAUUAUUUUAAUUGUAAAAAAACAAUUUUAAAAAAGAAAGACGAUAAGACCCUAUCGAACUUUACUUUAGUUUAACUGGGGCAGUUAAUUAAUUAUUAUUUUAAUAAAAUUAAAUAUUUAAUUUGACCUAAUAUUAUUAAUAAAAUAAUCAAGUUACCGUAGGGAUAACAGCGUAAUAUGAUUUUUAAGAUCUUAUUUAAAAUAAAGAUUGCGACCUCGAUGUUGAUUUAAUAACCUAAUUUACGCAAUAGUUAAUUAAGGAAGUCUGUUCGACUUUAAAAAAAUUACAUGAUUUGAGUUCAGACCGGUGUAAACCAGGUCGGUUUCUAUCUUCUAAAAAAAUUCUUCUAGUACGAAAGGACCUAAGAAAAUAAUAUUAUU
rnacentral:rRNA from 1 species